rnacentral:tRNA from 1 species
GGAUGGGAAGUCUAAUAAGAGGAUGCUACACUGUAAAUGUAGAGGAGGUUACACCCCCAUCCA